UACAGAGGGUGCGAGCGUUGUCCGGAAUCACUGGGCGUAAAGGGCGCGUAGGCGGUCUCUUAAGCGUGUGGUGAAAGCCCGGGGCUCAACUCCGGGUCGGCCGUGCGAACUGGGGGACUGGAGCUUGUCAGAGGCAGGCGGAAUUCCGGGUGUAGCGGUGGAAUGCGUAGAGAUCCGGAAGAACACCGGUGGCGAAGGCGGCCUGCUGGGACAGUGCUGACGCUGAGGCGCGACAGCGUGGGGAGUGAACAGG
rnacentral:rRNA from 1 species